rnacentral:lncRNA from 1 species
CUGAAGCCUGCAGGGGUGCCUCCUCUGCCGGAUCUGGCCAAGCCUCCUGCCAGUCGAGGCCCUUUACCUUCCAGUCACACCAAGAACUAAAACAGGAUCAGCCAAAGCUUUUGAAGAAACCCAAACUGGACAGACAGUUACUGAAUUUUUGUAAUGUCCGAGGCUUCCAGGAGGAGUGACACAUAUCUCUGCUGGAUGAGCUCACAGUUCCAAUGAGAAGAUACAAGCUGAAAGAUUGCAGCAGAACUGGGAAGUGAAAGCACGGAGAGGCUGUGGGACAUGGAGGAGGGGCGGUAAGAUUGAGAAAGAGGUAACAGUUGGGGUGACUUUGGACCUGAGACCUGGGCAGGCAUAAGAAGUCUCACUCUCUAUUCCAUUCUUGGCAGGGGAUGUUUCUUUGUACCAGGUAGCUUUGCGCUUGUUUUGUUCCAUAAAAGUAAAUCUCUGUUCACUAAGGAAUUAUGGUAGUGAAUGGUGACUCUCCGGAAUUAUAGGGCUAAUUCCAAAAUAAUCUUAGUUUUAUUCCCCCACAUUGUAAUAUUAACACUUGGGAAUUUUGUUUAUCGCGAUGUUUAAUAAUUUGGCCAGCAGAGGGCACUGCAUACUGACAGUCUCUCCACACCAGUCGCUCAAAUCCUCAAGAGUUCCCGAAGUGUUAGGCUUAACUCAGGGGUGUUUGCAAGUGCUUUGCUCUUCUGUUUCAGACAUAAACAUAUGUCAGAAAUUAAAAGAGGGUUGUGAAGCAGGAAAUUAGAUUAACAGUAGCAUAUAAUUUCCCUCUAUUUGUUAAUAAAGAGAAAAAAUAUUGGUAUGUACACCCAUGUCUACAGGGUUUUAAAUGUAGCUGUAUUAAUUAAUGUAUUAAUAAUAUGAUAACACUACUUCUUGCAUAAAUCAACAUAACUUCUAAAUUCUCUUUGAAAAUAUUUUUGGUUUUAUAUUGUGGUUUAAUUCUCAAUCAUAAACUAAAAAGUAAAAAAACCUGAUGCCUAAUGUUAUACUUUCUUUCAAACCUUAAGAUAGAUAUUAUUGUUUGAAUAGUAUCAAAAUAUUGUGGUUCUGCACAAAUGCUUUUUAUAACUUCUUACGAUGAUAUUUUAAUUUCUAUUUCCACAUAUGGAUAUGAGUAUUCGAAAACAUUUGACGCACAAUUUUCUUCUCUUCAUCUCCCCAUUAUAAAAAUGUAAAGGUGUGUUUUAAAACCCGUUUGCUCUUGGUUAAACUUGACAAUGUGGAGACCCCUUUGUUAGCUGGUCCUAUGAGUUAAUGCACAGCCUUUGUGUUUUUCAUUUAAGG